ensembl:lncRNA
UGUCUAUGACAGCCAUUACCACAUACACAUAAACGCUGUCACGUCACAAACUUACAGUGACUGGAACCUAAAUGUGGAAAUACAGUAUGCAUGUGUAGGUGCGUGUGUGUUUAUGUGUUUACCUGUUCAGGUUGGAUUGUUGGUAACGAUAACCGAUAGGGCAUAUGAUGCCCACCCCACACACUUUAGCCCAGAGGGCGGCUGGCUGCAGGCCAGAUCCCAGAAUUCCCUGCGGUCAGGGCCUUGUCUCUACUUCAGUGAGUUGCCUGUGGCUUGAGCAAACACAUUUGAAUUUGUUCAUUUUGUUUUGGCUGUUUGUUUGUCGGUGAUAGAUAUCCUCUCCCCAUUGCUUUUUUUAUUUGAAACGUUCCUUCGGAUGAUUUAAUAAUGUUUCGUUCUGGAGGAAGAAAAACAGAGAUGUGUCGUGAAGCAAAUGGGGGCAGGCCUGUUUAGCCAAUCCAAAAUCAGGGACUCCCUAGCUCCAGCCAAUCACAGGAGAAGCCACAAGCUUAUUGGACGGAGUCAGGAAAUCAAACUCUAUGCCCAACCUCCCUGUUUCUCCACCCCCGCCCCCUUUUGUCCCUUAACCAAUCAAACCCCCCCACCCCCCCUUCCUCUUUACCCGUAGAGUCUCCGUGUCAGCAUAAUUUCUAAUCUACAAAGAAAUACUCUUGUAUAUAAGAAAGUGUUUUGUAUAAAUAACUACUAUUUUCAAACUCUGCAGAUGAAACCAGGGCACAAUUUAAAGUUUCAUGAAAGUUAUAACUUUAAAUGUGAGGCGAUUCAAAUAAAAAAAGACAAAAAAAUAUAUAUAUACCUUACACUGAUUUUCGAAUGGGGCACAAAAAAACCCAGAAUAGAAAAAGUCUGACUUUUUUCCCCUAAUUUUUAAAAUGAAUUUUGUUGACUUUUAUUAAUUUCUGUUGAUUGUUUGAUUUGUUUAUAUUUUGGUUUCAUUUUUACUUUUCGGUUUAUAUUGAAGAAAAAUGGCAUUGCAUGCUCUGAAUAUUUUGCUGGUUAUUAAAAGUAAAAUGGAGACAAGAGAUUCAAAGGACUAAACGUGGAAAAAAAAGUUGAAACAUGCUGAGGGGGAUUCCUAAACUUUUAUGGAAAAGUUGCUUCAAUUUGCAAUUGCUUGUGUUAAACUAUACAGUUUUUUUCUAUGAAAACAACACAAAAACAGAAAAAAGAGUACUCCAACAACUUGUGCAAUAAAGCUAUCUUUCUAUGAACUUGUGUCCUUUUCUUUCAUCUGUUGUGUAUCCUUUUGUCAGAAGCUUAGUCCUGUAACAAUGCCCACACACACACACACACUACACAUGUGAAGGAACACAAAAAUAUAAAACAUAAGUAAAGAAAAGAAAAUCUUUAAUUGUUUGAUGUGUUGUAUUACACCCUCACUUUAAUAUCGUGACCCAUCACAUAUUACCAUCCCAUUGACCAUCAACUGAUUCACUCCUUUGCUGUUGGAAUAUGGAGCACACUACCAGCUAUCAGGAUUUUGGAGUUGUCAUUACCCUAACUGACCACAUGGGGGCAGGCAUGCUAUAUCACUUCUGGAGAAGCCUAAAUGGAUGUGGGAUCAGUUAGGCGUUUUGGGGUCUUGAUUCUCAUUAUUGGAAUAGAACAGUAGGGGCUUGCCUGAGUAGGUUUGCUGAUUCGGAUAAUGCCGGUGAUUCUGGUUCAGGCAUUCUGUCUAGAACAUUCUCUCCAGAACAUUCUGUCUAGAACAUUUCCGUCUAGAACAUUCCGUCUAGAACAUUUUGUUCUGGCUCUGAUUUCUAUUCUUUCACAACAUUCCUAUUCACUUUCAUCCACACUCAAUCAUGCUGAUUUGAACAAAGAAAAACAAAGCAAUAAAACAAAACAAAAAAUAAUAAAACCCUGUUAUUAAUAUAAAUAUAAUGAUAUGACACAAACAUUUGUGAUAUUUUAAAAUACUCAUUGACAGCUAAGUGACCUUAUUGCGAGUGGUGUGGUAUGUUACACAUAUUUUAGACAGAUCUACACUUCCACAGGUAUGUGCCAGUGCAUAGUGUGGAGGCAAGGUGUGUGUGUGUGUGUGUGUGUGUGUGUGUGUGUGUGUGUGUAUGUGUGAGAGUGUGUGUGUAUGUGUGAGAGUGUGUGCGUAUGUAUGUUUUUGUGUGUGUGUGUGUGUGUGUGUGUGUGUGUGUGUGUGUGAGAGUGUGUGCGUAUGUAUGUUUGUGUGUGUGUGUGUGUGUGUGUGUGUGUGUGUGUGUGUAUGUGUGAGAGUGUGUGCGUAUGUAUGUUUUUGUGUGUGUGUGUGUGUGUGUGUGUGUGUGUGUGUGUGUGUGUUUGUGAUCGGUGUGUGUGUGUAGAUCCGCCCAUGACUGUGUGAGAGAGUGUGUGAUGGUGUACUUUUCCAUAGUAUUUACAAUGUUUCAGAGAGAAUGAGUGAUCAUGUCUGUGUGUGUGUGUGUGUGUGUGUGUGAGAGAGAGGGAGAGAGAGUAAUGACUGAGAGUGCAAAAAAUCGAAAAAAAGAGAAAGCGAGAGAGUUGAAGAGCUAUAAAGAGCUGAGGGGGAGGUGCUCCUCCCCUCCUCUAGAUGGUGCCCUUCUUCUUUGGCUGGUCCUUCCUUCUUUAGACGGUGUCCUUCUUCUUCUGCUGGUACUUCCUGUACUCCUUCUGGAUGGUAAAGGCGGCCUUGACGGCCUCAGGGCUGGCCGGGGCACACAGCCCAUUAGUGCAGUUGGAGUCUGGAACAGACAGGAGACACAGCAAGGCUCACGGACAGGAGACACAGACAUGAGACACAGACAGGAGACACAGACAUGAGACACAGACAGGAGACACAGACAGGAGACACAGACAUGAGACACAGACAGGAGACACAGACAGGAGACAGGAGACACAGACAGGAGACACAGACAGGAGACACAGACAGCAGACAUGAGACACAGACAGGAGACACAGACAUGAGACACAGACAGGAGACACAGACAGGAGACACAGACAGGAGACACAGCAAGGCUCACAGACAGGAGACACAGCAAGGCUCACGGACAGGAGACACAGACAGGAGACACAGCAAAGCUCACGGACAGGAGACACAGACAGGAGACACAGACAUGAGACAGACACAGACAGGAGACACAGACAGGAGACAGGAGACACAGACAGGAAACACAGACAUGAGACACAGACAUGAGACACAGCAAGGCUCACGGACAGGAGACACAGACAUGAGACACAGACAGGAGACACAGACAUGAGACACAGACAGGAGACAGGAGACACAGCAAGGCUCACGGACAGGAGACACAGACAGGAGACACAGACAGGAGACACAGCAAGGCUCACAGACAUGAGACACAGACAGGAGACACAGACAGGAGACACAGACAGGAGACACAGCAAGGCUCACAGACAGGAGACACAGACAGGAGACACAGACAUGAGACACAGACAGGAGACACAGACAGGAGACACAGACAGGAGACACAGCAAGGCUCACGGACAGGAGACAUGAGACACAGACAGGAGACACAGACAGGAGACACAGACAGGAGACAGGAGACACAGACAGGAGACACAGACAGGAGACACAGACAGGAGACACAGCAAGGCUCACGGACAGGAGACAGAGACAGGAGACACAGACAGGAGACACAGACAGGAGACACAGACAGGAGACAGGAGACAGGAGACACAGCAAGGCUCACGGACAGGAGACACAGCAAGGCUCACAGACAGGAGACACAGACAGGAGACAGGAGACAGGAGACACAGACAGGAGACACAGACAGGAGACACAGCAAGGCUCACAGACAUGAGACACAGACAGGAGACACAGACAGGAGACAGGAGACACAGACAGGAGACACAGACAGGAGACACAGCAAGGCUCAUGGAGAGGAGACACAGACAGGAGACACAGCAAGGCUCACGGAGAGGAGACACAGACAGGAGACACAGCAAGGCUCACAGACAGGAGACACAGACAGGAGACACGGACAGGAGACACAGACAGGAGACACAGCAAGGCUCACGGACAGGAGACACAG